rnacentral:rRNA from 1 species
UCCUACGUGAGGCAGCAGUGGGGAAUAUUGGACAAUGGGGGGAACCCUGAUCCAGCCAUGCCGCGUGUGUGAAGAAGGCCUUAUGGUUGUAAAGCACUUUAAGCGAGGAGGAGGCUACUGAGACUAAUACUCUUGGAUAGUGAACAUACUCCCACAUAAGGCACCCGCGUCC